AAACCUUACUCAAAACCACUGAGUGCAAGCCCAAACCCUACAGAAUCAGUGGUCCCCAACCUUUUUUGGUACCAGGACCAGUUUCAUGGAAGACAUUGUUUCCAUCGACGGGUGGUGGGGCUUGGGGGGUUGGAGUUUAGGAGAUAAUGCAAGUUAUGGGAAGCAGCAGAUGAAGCUCUGCUUACCUGCCCCUCAACUCUUGCUCUGUGACCAGGUUUCUAACAGGCUGUGGCCAUGCCCAAGGGCUUGGGGACCCUUGUAUAGAAUAUCACCCUUUAAUUAGGAUGGUUCAUGGUCCCCUGUGAUGCGUAAAUAGCUUCUUGGAACUUUUAAUCUACAGAUGGAAGAACAGCCAGGAACCCUGCAGCCAGAGAUACAAAUAAUACAACUCCAGGAACUGUAAAAGCCAAGGAAAUGAAUUCUUCCCCAAAGCCUUCAGAUGAAUUGCAGCCCUGCCCACAUUCUCGCCUGAUACCCUGCUGCAUUCACUAUUGUCCAAAGUUGCCUGAAAUGGAGCUCUGACUUUUAGUUGUAACCACGAGAAACAUUUUCAUACUUGGAAAGAACAAGAGGAAGAGGGCAAAGUGAAUAUUUGACAAAGAAAGCUGCAAAUUCUCUACCUGAGAAUUUCGUGAGGAUACAUCUGUUAUGAUACCAUGUCAGGUUUUCAAGAUCUUUCUGUGUUGUUGGGUGUUGUCAUUAUAGACAUGCCUGAACUGGCUAAGUCCGCUCCUGCCCCUAAAAAGGGCUCUAAAAAAGCUGUGACCAAGGCCCAGAAGAAGGAGGCAAGAAGCGCAAGCACAGCCACAAGGAGAGCUACUCCGUGUACAUGUACAAGGUGCUGAAGCAAGCCCAUCCGGACACUGGCAUCUCAUCCAAGGCCAUGGGAAUCAUGAACUCCUUCGUCAAUGACAUUUUCGAGCGCAUUGCUGGCAAGGCAUCACGCCUGGCACAUUACAACAAGUGCUCGACUAUCACAUCCAGGGAGAUCCAGACCGCCAUGCACUUGCUGCUACCUGGGGAACUGGCCAAGCACGCCGUGUCCAAGGGCACUAAGGCUGUCACUAAAUAUACCAGCUCCAAGUAAAUAUGCCUAGCCACUGUUAACGGAGGAGUCAAUGGCACCCCACUCCAGUACUCUUGCCUGGAAAAUCCCAUGGACGGAGGGCCUGGUAGGCUGUAGUCCAUGGGGUCACUAAGAGUCGGACACAACUGACUUUUUUUUCACUUACAGGUUUUCAAGGGCUCUAGAUAUUGGACAUUUUUCUGAGGUUGUGGCAGGAACCAGAACACAAUGCUUUAUGAGCCGUUUUCAGAAAUACAGAGAAAGGAUUAUGAGCAUCUGUAUUUUUUGUGCAUUUAAUAGUCAGAAUGUAGAAUCUUACUGUGUGACUUAAUUUUUAUCUGAGCAUUUAUUCAUUUUCUUCUUUGAUGCACCUUCUCAUUUUUGUAAUUGCCUAUUCACUUAAUUCCCCAUUUCAUAAUUAAAUUUUCUCAUUUUUUGUGCACUUUACAAUUCUUUUCAUAUUCAAGUCAAUAAA